UACGUAGGGUGCAAGCGUUGUCCGGAAUUAUUGGGCGUAAAGAGCUCGUAGGCGGUUUGUCGCGUCUGCUGUGAAAUCCCGAGGCUCAACCUCGGGCUUGCAGUGGGUACGGGCAGACUAGAGUGCGGUAGGGGAGAUUGGAAUUCCUGGUGUAGCGGUGGAAUGCGUAGAGAUCAUGAGGAAGACCAGUGGCGAAGGCGGGUCUCUGGACAGUUCCUGACACUGAGGCACGAAGGCCAGGGGAGCAAACGGG
rnacentral:rRNA from 1 species